AAAACGACUCUCGGCAACGGAUAUCUCGGCUCUCGCAUCGAUGAAGAACGUAGCGAAAUGCGAUACUUGGUGUGAAUUGCAGAAUCCCGUGAACCAUCGAGUCUUUGAACGCAAGUUGCGCUCGAAGCCUUUUGGCUGAGGGCACGUCUGCCUGGGCGUCACGC
rnacentral:rRNA from 1 species